UACGUAGGGGGCAAGCGUUGUCCGGAUUUAUUGGGCGUAAAGAGCGUGUAGGCGGCCAUACAGGUCCGUUGUGAAAACUGGAGGCUUAACCUCCAGACGUCGAUGGAAACCGUAUGGCUAGAGUCCGGAAGAGGAGAGUGGAAUUCCUGGUGUAGCGGUGAAAUGCGCAGAUAUCAGGAGGAACACCUAUUGCGAAGGCAGCUCGCUGGGACGUAACUGACGCUGAGACGCGAAAGCGUGGGGAGCAAGCAGG
rnacentral:rRNA from 1 species